rnacentral:rRNA from 1 species
UAAGCCUGUGAAGGUGUGUCGUGAGGCAUGCUGGAGGUAUCAGAAGUGCGAAUGCUGACAUAAGUAACGAUAAAGCGGGUGAAAAGCCCGCUCGCCGGAAGACCAAGGGUUCCUGUCCAACGUUAAUCGGGGCAGGGUGAGUCGACCCCUAAGGCGAGGCCGAAAGGCGUAGUCGAUGGGAAACGGGUUAAUAUUCCCGUACUUGGUGUUACUGCGAAGGGGGGACGGAGAAGGCUAUGUUGGCCGGGCGACGGUUGUCCCGGUUUAAGCGUGUAGGUGUGUGUUCCAGGUAAAUCCGGUUCACUUUAACACUGAGGCGUGACGACGAGGCACUACGGUGCUGAAGCAACAAAUGCCCUGCUUCCAGGAAAAGCCUCUAAGCAUCAGGUAACACGAAAUCGUACCCCAAACCGACACAGGUGGUCAGGUAGAGAAUACCAAGGCGCUUGAGAGAACUCGGGUGAAGGAACUAGGCAAAAUGGUGCCGUAACUUCGGGAGAAGGCACGCUGACACGUAGGUGAAGUGAUUUACUCACGGAGCUGAAGUCAGUCGAAGAUACCAGCUGGCUGCAACUGUUUAUUAAAAACACAGCACUGUGCAAACACGAAAGUGGACGUAUACGGUGUGACGCCUGCCCGGUGCCGGAAGGUUAAUUGAUGGGGUCAGCGCAAGCGAAGCUCCUGAUCGAAGCCCCGGUAAACGGCGGCCGUAACUAUAACGGUCCUAAGGUAGCGAAAUUCCUUGUCGGGUAAGUUCCGACCUGCACGAAUGGCGUAAUGAUGGCCAGGCUGUCUCCACCCGAGACUCAGUGAAAUUGAACUCGCUGUGAAGAUGCAGUGUACCCGCGGCAAGACGGAAAGACCCCGUGAACCUUUACUAUAGCUUGACACUGAACAUUGAGCCUUGAUGUGUAGGAUAGGUGGGAGGCUUUGAAGUGUGGACGCCAGUCUGCAUGGAGCCGACCUUGAAAUACCACCCUUUAAUGUUUGAUGUUCUAACGUGGACCCGUAAUCCGGGUUGCGGACAGUGUCUGGUGGGUAGUUUGACUGGGGCGGUCUCCUCCUAAAGAGUAACGGAGGAGCACGAAGGUUGGCUAAUCCUGGUCGGACAUCAGGAGGUUAGUGCAAUGGCAUAAGCCAGCUUGACU